UGGAAAGUUUGAUCCUGGCUCCAGAUUGAACGCUGGCGGCAGGCUUAACACAUGCAAGUGGAGCGGGUAGCACAAGGGAGCUUGCUCCCCGGGUGACGAGCGGCGGACGGGUGAGUAAUGUCUGGGAAACUGCCUGAUGGAGGGGGCCACACUACUGGAAACGGUAGCUAAUACCGCAUAACGUCGCAAGACCAAAGAGGGGGACCUUCGGGCCUCUUGCCAUCAGAUGUGCCCAGAUGGGAUUAGCUAGUAGGUGGGGUAAUGGCUCACCUAGGCGACGAUCCCUAGCUGGUCUGAGAGGAUGACCAGCCACACUGGAACUGAGACACGGUCCAGACUCCUACGGGAGGCAGCAGUGGGGAAUAUUGCACAAUGGGCGCAAGCCUGAUGCAGCCAUGCCGCGUGUGUGAAGAAGGCCUUCGGGUUGUAAAGCACUUUCAGCGAGGAGGAAGGUGGUAGCUUAAUACGUUCAUCAAU
rnacentral:rRNA from 1 species